rnacentral:rRNA from 1 species
CCUACGGGAGGCAGCAGUGGGGAAUAUUGCACAAUGGGCGAAAGCCUGAUGCAGCAACGCCGCGUGAGCGAUGAAGGCCUUCGGGUCGUAAAGCUCUGUCCUCAAGGAAGAUAAUGACGGUACUUGAGGAGGAAGCCCCGACUAACUACGUGCCAGCAGCCGCGGUAAUACGUAGGGGGCUAGCGGUAUCCGGAAUUACUGGGCGUAAGGGGUGCGUAGGUGGUUUCUUAAGUCAGAGGUGAAAGGCUACGGCUCAACCGUAGUAAGCCUUUGAAACUGGGAAACUUGAGUGCAGGAGAGGAGAGUGGAAUUCCUAGUGUAGCGGUGAAAUGCGUAGAUAUUAGGAGGAACACCAGUUGCGAAGGCGGCUCUCUGGACUGUAACUGACACUGAGGCACGAAAGCGUGGGGAGCAAACAGGAUUAGAUACCCUUGUAGUC